rnacentral:rRNA from 1 species
GACGAACGCUGGCGGCGUGCCUAAUACAUGCAAGUCGAACGCACUCUCGUUUAGAUUGAAGGAGCUUGCUCCUGAUUGAUAAACAUUUGAGUGAGUGGCGGACGGGUGAGUAACACGUGGGUAACCUGCCCUAAAGUGGGGGAUAACAUUUGGAAACAGAUGCUAAUACCGCAUAAAACCUAACACCGCAUGGUGUAGGGUUGAAAGAUGGUUUCGGCUAUCACUUUAGGAUGGACCCGCGGUGCAUUAGUUAGUUGGUGAGGUAAAGGCUCACCAAGACCGUGAUGCAUAGCCGACCUGAGAGGGUAAUCGGCCACACUGGGACUGAGACACGGCCCAGACUCCUACGGGAGGCAGCAGUAGGGAAUCUUCCACAAUGGACGAAAGUCUGAUGGAGCAACGCCGCGUGAGUGAAGAAGGUUUCGGAUCGUAAAACUCUAGUUGUUGGUAGAAGAAUGUAUCUGAUAGUAACUGAUCAGGUAGUGACGGUAUCCAA